GAGGUAAAUGUUCAGUUUAUUUGGUUUCAGAAUUUUAGUACUCUUUGGUAUUGUGAAAUAUAAUACAUGAAGAGUGUGUGUUUUUUUGGGGAAUAUUCAUCCACUUACACAAUAUUCAAGAAAGUCUUUAAAGAUAACCCCCUACAAAGGUAUCAGGGAACAACAAAAUAAAUUCCAUUUCUAGUCAAAUAGAAACCGUAUUUAAUGAUUUAAUGAACACUCAUAAAUUAAUUAGCUAACUUGUAAAUAAAGAAAGUACUGGGAAUCAAAUACAUUCUAACCAUGAUGAUGCUAAUAGUAGUGGCUAUCAUGGUAUAACUGUGUACCUAUGUGAUUUAGGAAUUAGAAAAAGGUAACCAGACUUUAUGUAUUUAUAGUACACAUAUUAUCUCAUGUAUAAGUAUACACAUAUGCUGAAUUUUUAACUUCUAAAUCCCUUUUUUCAUUCCUUCAGAUUCUUUUUUUUUU
rnacentral:lncRNA from 1 species